rnacentral:piRNA from 1 species
UGGGAAUGAGAUCUAGGUUGUGGCUGC